rnacentral:rRNA from 1 species
GAUGAACGCUGACAGAAUGCUUAACACAUGCAAGUCAACUUGAACUUCGGUUUGGGUGGCGGACGGGUGAGUAACGCGUAAAGAACUUGCCUCACAGUUAGGGACAACAUUUGGAAACGAAUGCUAAUACCUGAUAUUAUGAUUUUUGGGCAUCCUACAAUUAUGAAAGCUAUAUGCGCUGCGAGAAAUCUUUGCAUCCCUUUAGCUAUUUGGAAAGGUAACGGGUCCCCAGGGAGAAC